UUUGCCUCAACAUAUCCCUCACUGCACCAAUACAUAUCUAUGUAAGUACAUAUGCAAACCUCGUAUCCACCUCAGAAAAUCCGGAUUUUGAAACUCCGGACACUAAAAAUAAGAUGGUAACAUAUUAUAACCGGGCGGAAUCACCACAAUGCUUGCACCAGCAUCAUAUGUAAAGAAACCAAUGACGAAGAAAUUAACCUCGGAAACCAGGCGGGCACAAUACGUUAAACAUCAGACAAGAUACCGGAACCAGAGACAUGUUUCGAUUAUUUGGGAUUGGUACGUUAGAAAAGAACAGCCGCUCCUCCGGAUCCGUCGGGGUGGCUUGACACUGUAAUGAAAUAGAAAAUUUUGUUAAUGGGGCAUCGUGUGACUCGUUACAUUACUAAAAAUGUAACACUUACCCCGGCAACUGCAACCGCAAGAACGACAAGUAAUGAUACUUAGAAUUAAAGAUAAUUGAAUAAUUUGAAAAAGUUCUUGGUAUGAUGAUGUGUUGAAAAAUGUUGCCAUUUUAUACCAAACGGCUCCGUCAUCCAUAACCUAAAUUCGGACGUAUGUCCAGCUACGUAAUUCUACCUUAUGAAUAGAUGACGUAUUUAAUUAUCUUCAUGUCUUUUAUCCUUUUAUAAAAUAUUCACCGCAAUAUUAACUGAAUCAAUAAAAAAAUAAAUUAUUAUGGUAGA